CCAGUGGAUUUUUUUAAAUCCACUUUUACACACAGGCAUACAUAUU
rfam:Lepisosteus oculatus linkage group LG10, whole genome shotgun sequence.